rnacentral:rRNA from 1 species
UACGAAGGGGGCUAGCGUUGUUCGGAAUUACUGGGCGUAAAGCGCACGUAGGCGGAAUGUUAAGUCAGGGGUGAAAUCCCGGGGCUCAACCCCGGAACUGCCUUUGAUACUGGCAUUCUCGAGUCCGGAAGAGGUGAGUGGAAUUCCGAGUGUAGAGGUGAAAUUCGUAGAUAUUCGGGGGAACACCAGUGGCGAAGGCGGCUCACUGGUCCGGUACUGACGCUGAGGCGCGAAAGCUAGGGGAGCAAACAGG